GUGUUUGGGGGAAUAAUGCCUCUGAGUGAAGAAGGAGAAAAAGGUCCUGAUUGUUAGGUGAAUUUGAAGCUGUCCUUCGGACUGGAUCUAAAUGGCCCAACCAAGUUUGAUGUCAACCGUGAAAGUUCUACUGAAUGUUCCAGUUAUUCUUUACCACUGCAGUCUGAACUGGGAGUCUACUGGAGUCUCUUGAAAUUAUUCUGCUGGAUUCGGCCGUCAGAGUGUUUUUCUGGAGCCCAGGCUGGAGGACAGUGGCUACCAGGAGCAUGUUUUUCUCAUGAUGGAGUUCAGCAGCUUCUAG